CUACCAUGCAGUCGAGGGGUAUAGUAGCAAUACUAGAGACCGGCGCACGGGUGCGUAACGCGUAUGCAACCUACCUUUUACAGGGGAAUAGCCCAGAGAAAUUUGGAUUAAUGCCCCAUGGUAUAUGUAAUUCGCAUGUUUUACAUAUUAAAGUUCCAACGGUAAAAGAUGGGCAUGCGUCCUAUUAGCUAGAUGGUAAGGUAACGGCUUACCAUGGCUACGAUAGGUAGGGGUCCUGAGAGGGAGAUCCCCCACACUGGUACUGAGACACGGACCAGACUCCUACGGGAGGCAGCAGUGAGGAAUAUUGGACAAUGGGCGCAAGCCUGAUCCAGCCAUGCCGCGUGCAGGAAGACGCAUCUAUGGUGUGUAAACUGCUUUUGUACGGGAAGAAACACCCCCUCGUGAGGGGGCUUGACGGUACCGUAAGAAUAAGGAUCGGCUAACUCCGUGCCAGCAGCCGCGGUAAUACGGAAGAUCCAAGCGUUAUCCGGAAUCAUUGGGUUUAAAGGGUCCGUAGGCGGUUUAAUAAGUCAGUGGUGAAAUCUGGUCGCUCAACGAUCAAACGGCCAUUGAUACUGUUAGACUUGAAUUAUUGUGAAGUAACUAGAAUAUGUAGUGUAGCGGUGAAAUGCUUAAAUAUUACAUGGAAUACCAAU
rnacentral:rRNA from 1 species